AGAGAGAGAGAGAGAGAGAGAGAGAGAGAGAGAGAGCGAAGAGGUCUGAGAGGAGUGAGAGAGAAAGGAGGAGCGGAUAGCAAAACUGGAGAAUUACUUCCCAAUUUUUCACAGAAACCCCCCUGAUCUUUUCAACAUUUACGAUUUGACCUCAAAUUCUUCGCGCUUUCCCUCUCAAAUUUGAUCUAAAUUAAUGAGCCGUUUAGGGUUCAAGUCCGUAGUCUACCAUGGCGAGCUGCGUUUGGGAGAGCUGGACGCUAUUCCGGUGACGGACGGGAAUUUCCGGUUCCCGAACAAUGAGAUUCGAAUCCACCGGAUUUCGCAGCAAAGCGAGAGGUGUCCUCCGCUCUCAAUUCUCCAGACGAUUUCCUCGUUUUCUGUUCGCUGCAAACUCGAAUCGGCCUCCCCUGUCGAACAGCCGCAUUUGAUCAAUCUCCACGCCUCUUGCUUCUACGAGUUCAAGACGGCGAUUGUGUUGGUAGGGGAUGAGGAGAUUCACUUGGUAGCCAUGCCGAGUAAGCAGAAGAAAUUUCCGUGCUUUUGGUGCUAUGCGGUUCCUGUUGGUCUGUACAGUGCUUCUCUAGGAAUGCUGAAUCUGAGGGUUCUCUCAAUUGUGUUUGAUCUCGAUGAGACGUUGAUUGUUGCCAACACCAUGAAGUCUUUUGAGGAUAGGAUCGAGGCUUUACGAAGUUGGAUUGGACGGGAGAGUGAUGGGGUGCGAAUAGCUGGAAUGUCUGCUGAAAUGAAGCGGUACAUGGACGAGAGGUGGCUGUUGAAGCAAUAUAUAGAUAACGAUUGUGUGAUGGAUAAUGGAAAGUUGUAUAAAGUUCAACUGGAGGAGGUUCCUCCACUGUCUGAUAACCAUGAAAAAAUGAUUCGGCCUAUCAUUAGAUUGCCAGAGAAGAACAUUGUGCUCACUCGCAUCAAUCCCGAGAUUCGUGAUACCAGUGUGCUUGUGCGGUUACGACCUGCAUGGGAAGAUUUGAGAAGUUAUUUAACUGCAAAAGGACGCAAGAGGUUUGAAGUUUACGUCUGUACUAUGGCUGAAAGAGAUUAUGCCUUAGAAAUGUGGAGGCUUCUUGACCCAGGGUCACACUUAAUAGGCUCAAAGCAACUUCUGGACCGUGUUGUUUGUGUUAAAUCAGGCUCCAAGAAAUCUUUACUGAAUGUCUUCCAACAAGGAGUGUGCCAUCCAAAGAUGGCAAUGGUUAUUGAUGACCGUUCCAAUGUCUGGGAAGAUAAGGAUCAACCUCGAGUCCAUGUUGUUCCAGCUUUCAGCCCAUAUUAUGCUCCUCAAGCAGAGACAGCUAGUGCAGUUCCAGUCCUCUGUGUAGCAAGAAAUGUUGCAUGCAAUGUCAGAGGUUGUUUUUUCAAAGAGUUUGAUGAAAUUUUGUUGCGAAGAAUUUCUGGAGUUUUUUAUGAAGAUGAGGUGGUAAAUUUGCCUCCUGCUCCUGAUGUGAGCAAUUACUUGAUGUCCGAGGAUGCUGGUUUUGCACCAAAUGGAAAUGCUAAUGCUCCCAUUAGUGAAGGAAUGAAUGGUGUCGAAGUGGAACGAAGAUUAAACCUAUCUGAUGAUAAGGGUGGUGUGGAGUCGGUGGUUCAUUCUGUGAAAAAUCAUGCUGAGUCAAGAUCUGACAACUCUCAAGCACUGGCUGCAAUUCUUCCCAAUGCUGCUGGUACGACAUCUUUGAGGCCGGUCAUACCUUCUCAGAAACCUGGUCUGCUUGGACUUCCUGUUAGACGUGAUAGCUUUUCUGAUCGUGACCAUGAGAUGAGGAGAGGACUCCUUGGUACAAAUCCUGGUCUAGAUAUAAGGAGUCAAAGCUCUGCUGAGCCCCCUCUUUUAUCUAAAGUGCCUGGACAACUGCCAGCAUCCUCAAUAAAUGCACAAGGAGGAUGGUUGGUUGAUGAUGACAACAACAGAGGACAUUCGAGUAAUCACACUUCUGAGCUUGUUCAACAGCCUGGUGUUUCAAAACCUGAAAAGUCAGUUUACCAGAAUCCUUUCGGUCCUGCCACACCAGGUUCUACACCCACUGGUUUGCUCUCACACAAAUCCGAUUUGAAGAGGGAAGAGGUAUCUUCUGGGCGUGAUUUGCAAAAACAGAAUCUUCCUUUUCCAAGUCAGCCUUCAGAGGCUGGUGUAUCCCAGAAUCAAGCAUCUUCUUUGAAUAGAGAAUCUCAAAUAGAAUCUGGUAAAGUGACCCUGCUGCCAUCCCCUUUAUCUAUUGGAGUGCUGCAGGAAAUUGGACGGAGGUGCAGUUCAAAGAUUGAGUUCAGGUCUGUUUUAAGCACCAGCAACGAUUUGCAGUUUUCUGUUGAGGUUCUUUUCACUGGAGAGAAGAUAGGUUUUGGAACGGGUAGGACGAGGAAGGAUGCUCAACAACAGGCUGCUGAGAAUGCCCUUCACAGCUUGGCUGAUAAAUAUGCUGCAUAUCUUGCACCUCAUACUGGUGUCGUGGACAGAGAUUUAGAUAAAGGAAACGAAAACGGAUUUCUAUUGGACAUGGUUGGUCCAGGAUCAGCUGAGCUACUAAGGGAUGGAUUGCCUACAGAAAGCACUUCUGAGGUGGGGAUAAUUGAUGAUGCUUUCAUUAGUUGAUUUGAUUUUCAAUGUUUAAAAACAUAGGUGAUGCUUGGAUAAAGGGUAUGUGGGCAAGACACUGAAAGGAGAACCACUCCCAUUUUGAAUUUUGCAUCUGACAAAGAUGUGAUGGCUAAAACACUGAAAGCGGAUUGAGCUGGCUUCAAUGUCUGCUACUGCUGCCUUAUUGGCUCCAUCAAUUCCUGUUUUGAAAGGCUGUUGAAGUUGAACCGGGGAGUACUUUUACGGUGAGUCAGCAAGUUCUAAAGCGUGCCAGUUCCCCAAGAUUGAUAGAGUCUGUUGCAAAACGAUCCAAGGAAGAAAUACUGCAUGGUUCACGAAGUUUAUCAUUUUCACGGCAACAGAAGAAUGGGGUUACAGACAAACUUUGAGACCGAAGUCGUUUCAAUCAAGGCUCCUGCUAGCACAUUCUUCCUCUCCUCACAAACGAAACGGAGGUCUCGAAGAGGUUCAGUGCCUCCAUCUCUUCCCAGCCUCCCAAUUUUAGCACUAGCUUGAAGAUUUGGAAAACAAGGGAACAAGUAAAAUUGAAAAGAUUGGCGUUUUGAGGCGCACGACUCUGGCAUCUUGUACAUUCAGAAUAUCUUUUCCCCUUUCGGAAUGCUGGUUUCAAUAUUGCCAGGGCUAUAUUUCUUGAGGCGUAUGUGUAAGUUUUGUUGGUGGAAAGGUGGGCUAUAUUUCUUUUCAUCUUGCUCCAUCUUUUCUUGCUUGCAUACAUCGUCGUGAAUCUUGAGGUUGGGGAUUGCCAUAUUCGAAUACAACACACAUUUUCUUCCUCCAAAUAUUUUACGUAAAUGUGGUUGAUCAUAAGAUUUUGAGCAUGGAAACUGAAAUUUGAGACCCAUCUUGUUCCCUAGACGUGUAACAAAUUUGUUAUCCCGUCAAAGUCGAUAAAUAAUGGCAUUGUGUUUGCUUCCUUUUAAAAUCUUUUUAUCUUUGUAAUCGGGCUGUAUAGAUACAAACAGAUUCCGAGUAUGUAAGAAGCUCUAGCUCUGUCCCUGAUCGCUGGAGAAGUAAAUUAAAUAUCGACCUUAUUUUUGAGUCUGGAAAUGAUUUUCGCACA